rnacentral:rRNA from 4 species
UACGGAGGUGGCAAGCGUUGUUCGGAAUUACUGGGCGUAAAGGGCGCGUAGGCGGCAAGGCAAGUCAGGUGUGAAAGCCCCGAGCUUAACUCGGGAAUUGCAUCUGAAACUGCUGUGCUUGAGUUCUGGAGGGGGUAGUGGAAUUCCCAGUGUAGCGGUGAAAUGCGUAGAUAUUGGGAGGAACACCUGCGGCGAAGGCGGCUACCUGGACAGAAACUGACGCUGAGGCGCGAAAGCUAGGGGAGCGAACGGG